AACAAAACUCAUGGUUAUGAAGUACGGAGAAACUUCACCAAUGAAAGAAUCACUUAUUUUCACACAAAUCAAUCAGUCCGCCAUAUAAACUGCGUCUGCAAAAUUGGGACGGAGAUGGUUACUGAGAUAGGUUAAAUAUAAUUCAAAAGCUAUCCCAAUAUUAUGCCACACACCUUAGAAUCUCAAUCAAGAGGUCUUACGAAAAUCGAGGCCUGAGUCACUUAAUUCAUCAAAUAUUGAUCCUAUCUUCCUUAUACAGCUUCUAAGCAGGAUUCAAGAUCUGGGUCCAAAUAACACAGAAUUGUCUUCACCCAAUUAUUGUACAUCCCAAUGCUUGAAAAAUCUAGAUUACAUCCCAAAUAAACCCAUUGAGCUACAGCCUGCUUCUCCCGUACACAUGAAAAUAAAAAAUGCAGAGAAUAACAUUUGUGUAGUGUACAAGCUAAUGGUGUUAGCUUUGUGCAAUGAGCAGCCUGAUGACACAGAGUGGCAUGCACUGACCAACUAAAGACAGAACUCAAGCAAUCCACUAAGGCUACCCAAGAAUCCCGCAGUCCCACUCCUGAAACUUUUCAAAAACAUCAAAUGGUUGUAACUUCACCAACCGAUUGUCAUUUAGAUCCAAACUACAGCCGUCAACCAAUUCAUCAUAUGCCACUAGUUCGUUUCAAACAACCAGCAUUAACAUAAACUUUUUUUUCCCUUGAAGUAAAUCACUCCUUACUGCAGCACCUUACAUAAAUGCAAAUGCACUGCAAAGUAAAUGUGUACAUACACACAGAAACAAAUUGCUUUGCCCACAUCAUGUCCUUUCUUUUGGAAUACAGCGUUCAAUGCACUUGAAACUUCAUAAAGCCCCGAAAAACACUCAACCCUCGUCUAAAGGGUUUGAAGAUUGUGUCUCAAGAAAUUAUAACGAUAGAUAAAUUACCUCAAAAUGUAUCGGACCAAGCUAUUAAAAUUCAACUACAUAAGCUAGCUUUUUCUUUUCUGCUUACCUGGUGAAACUUUGUCCACAUAUAAGCAUAUGCACUCACAAAACAAAAAUUGAGGGCAAAACUUGUUCAUUUCUCCUAAAUUCAUUGACGAAAUUCAAGCAAAUAUUUGAAACGAUUUAUAAUUUAUUUUUUACUGACAAGGUGUCUCGGCUUUGCCCUGACUAAUCUUAGAGAACAUGGUGUCCCCUCCCACGUAUAUCAGGUACCGAAACGGACCCGCCAUUUCCGGGGGGCACAGGAACCCUAACUAGUCUGAAAAUCACAGUUUAGCUUUGCUAAUGUGUCAAAAAUUACAUAUACACCCCCGUAUUGUUGUAUAGCCCACUUUUCUUCAAUAAAACCCCUUUAAUUUAUCCUUCCAUAACAACCUUACCUUAAAUUGUUAGGGUUCCUUUUUGAAUCGGCGAAACACAACCCUUUCGUUAGGAAUAGAACACCAACGAUUUUAUAUAUUUAGGAAUACUUCACGCAUUAUAAAACAAACAAUCAAACAAGCAGAAAAGUAGAUAACCUUAACAAUGGCAGACUCCAAACGCCCCUAAUUCGGCAUUCCCGAGAAAACAACAAUAAAUGUGCUUCGAACCAAUAAUUGAACACAAGCAAGCAAGGCCGUUGUAAUUCACGAAACAAAGAUAAACAUAUCAAAACCCUAAUUCCACAUGACAUCCCCAACUUUCACCAGCCAUCAGAUAAGGAUUACUUACAGAGUCAAUUUGAAACAACGGAUCGAAUUGAAUUGGUCUCGCGAUGAAGUCCAAAUAUUUACGUGUGUGCAGAGAGAGAGAGAUGAGAAACUGGGUUGACUCGGACGCGUUGGCUCUCUCUCUCUCUCUCCCUUCUCUCUCUCUUAUUUUGUAAAAACUUUCAAAAGCCAACGCCUCCCCGAAAGGAAGGUAAUUUGUCUCCGAAGAAGAAUAGUGACAGAUUGCUUUUCUCUAUGACCCGUAC
rnacentral:lncRNA from 1 species